GAUGAAGAACGCAGCGAAAUGCGAUAAGUAAUGUGAAUUGCAGAAUUCAGUGAAUCAUCGAAUCUUUGAACGCACAUUGCGCCCGCCAGUAUUCUGGCGGGCAUGCCUGUUCGAGCGUCAUUUCAACCAUCAAGCCCCAGGCUUGUGUUGGGGACCUGCGGCUGCCGCAGGCCCUGAAAACCAGUGGCGGGCUCGCUGUCACACCGGGCGUAGUAGAUUUUAUCUCGCUCAGGGCGUGCUGCGGGUUCCGGCCGUUAAAAAGCCUUUUUUACCCAAGGUUGACCUCGGAUCAGGUAGGAAGACCCGCUGAGCUUAAGCAUAUCAAUAAGCGAGGA
rnacentral:misc_RNA from 1 species